AGCCACUUCUUCCCUCUUAUCAAGCUGUGGGCCUGAGAGUUGCCAGCUGAGGUGUGGCUCAUCCUGUAGUAAGUGUUGGCACUUGAUUUCCACUCUGAUAAUUUUACAGCCUGCUUUGUUUGACAAGUCCCUCACGUAGGUGUGUUUGUUUAGUUAUUGCAGUUUCACGAGCUACAAAUGAGGCUACACGCUGACCAAGCCACGCUGAGACAAGAACAAGGGGAGAACCAGUGCUUGGAUCAGCAAGUUGCCAGUCUGUCAGCUGAGUUUAUGGAUCUGCAGGAAAGGAUGAUUCCAUGAUUGGGAGGUGCAUGACCUUCUUUCCAAGAAAGAGGCACGGAACAAAGUUCAGGAGAAUUAUUUCUUCCUGGAAAGUGUAGUCAGGUCACCCAGAGAUGUGCCUGGAGGAGCAACAGCUCAGCCCAGAGAUGGUACUGACAUGCCAAACUGGACAAUGCCAGAACUGCUUCAUCUCUUUGUUUGAUGACUGAAGGAACAUUGCCCAGAGCCUGGGGUGCAUGGAGAAUCCUGGUAGGAAUCUGCUUAGGAGGAUUACCAAAAGUCUGCAUCCAGGCUGUGGCUUGGUACACCCCUCUCUACUGCAAGAGAAGACAAGGAUGGAUUUUGAAAGAGGAAAAAGCAAUUUGAGAACAUUGUCUUACCAUUUUCUCAACAACAGAGCAGAGAGGGAUGGCAAAAUGAACAGGAAUUUACUACAAAUGAUGCAGGGUGGAAGAGGCUGACCCAUGACAAGCACAAGAAAAGACAAAUCUUCAUUAAAAGGUAUGUGGAAAUAAUGAGUGUUGUCAUCAACAUGAAGGAAGUAGCCAGAAGAAAAAUCCUUCAGCUCCCAGCUGGGUGAGUGGGAAAGGUGCAAGGCGGCCGACUCAAGCAGGGCCAUGUGUGUCUAUCCUGGAAGGAGCUUUCUUGUGAAUUAAUGAAACAUCAAGGCUGCAAUGCCAGCCAGAUUGGAGUGGUGUGUUUUCAGGAGAGAGCCGGAGCUGGCAGACCUUCAGCUGCUACAGAUCAAUUAAGUGCCUCUGAUUCCAGCAGACAGAGAGGGCCACCGACUUACAGCUGCAGAGGAUCUGGCCCAUUCCACGUUGGAACAGAGACUGCUUUCAUUUUGCCGAGAGCUGGACUCUUUAAAAUUUAAAUGCUGUUAAAUUUUAAAAUCACAAUUUAAUUUAAAAUUCCCUUUGCAGUUUCUUUUAGUGACAGCAUUCCUCAUUUCUGCUCCAAAGAGCUGAGACCUUACCUGUGCCCAAGACUGCCACAUCAGGGUCUGCGGGGCUUCACUGUCCUGUGGCCAGCAGGUGUGAUGUGCCUUGCCCUCAGAUUUUUUGAUGAGCCCAAUUUCUUGCUUCUCUUGGUCAAAUAACUGUAAUAAGGAUAAUCAUGGAAUCACAGAAUCAUGGAAUCAAAGAAUGGGUUGGGUUGGAACGACCUUGAAGAUUCUCCAGUUCUAACCCCAUGCUACAGGCAGAAACACCUUCCCCUAGACCAGGCUGCUCACAGCUCCAUCUAACCUGGCCUAAAUAGAUCAAAAGUCAGCCAGCACUCCCUACAUUUCCUGAAUCCCUGGGAAGCAGCAGCAUGCCCUGGUACUGGAAGGAGUGGAAGCACAAUGGAGAAGGAGCCCCUUGCCUAUGGCAAAGCCCUGAUGCUCAGGCAGGCUGCAAAGACAUAAAGUGCUCCUAACAAGCAUGGCCCAGCCCUGCAUGCACUGUAUGUGUGCUGGAGGCUCCAGUUUUGGGAAGAGAGGAUUCUCCCAGCUCCCUGGACAGACUUUUGGACAUGUUGCAGGGCUGUUGCAAUGCUUGUGUUUGUGGGGAGUGAGUUUGACUGCAGUGUUAAGAGAAGCGCAGUGUAUGAGUGUGCAGACCCUGGCCGUGUUUUCCGGUGUCUCAGAUUGACAGGUGAGGGGUUUGCUUUAUAAGAAGUUAUUUCAUAGCAUCUGGUCCCCAGUUAGUUGGGCAUCAGUGAAGAAGAAAAUCCUCCUCUCCCUCAGUUCUUGGCCAUGAGGGAAGGGGCUGUGCUGGAGAGCUGCAGAAAAAAGCAAAAGAGAAGAGGCAACAGUGUUGGGAGUGGGGAAAGAGGCCAGGGGUUAAAGCAAGAGGAACGAAGGUUAAAGGCAAGGAAAGAGGCCAGGGGUUAAAGCAAGAGGAACGAGGGUCAAAGGGAGCUUGGAGGGGCUGAGGAGGUGUUGGGGAGAGCAGUGCCUAUGCCCUCAGGGAGAGCUGCAACCCAGAAGGCAGCACCACAUCCGAAGCUGGGAGGCAUCAAUUCACUCCUUGCUUGUUUGUAAAGGUGGGAGAUUUUGAGCUUCCAAAUUACAGCAGCUGGGUUUGUAAUUUGGCAAAGAAACUUGGAAAAAAACAAACCAACAGCCCAAAGCCCGUCAUCACAAAGUGUUACAGUGUUACAGCACAUGCAUUUAGCACCUCGCUGCAGAGCCCAGCUGAGAGCUGACUUUCCAGUGUAAUUUUCCUGCAUAUCUGCCAAGCAGUGUGUAGAAAGAGCCAUCUGUGGUGUCUUAGGGGGCAUUUCCCGGUCACAGCUUCCAAAGGGUAACUCAAAAACUGAGUUCUGUGCACGCCAUUGCUCAGAAGGGCUUGAGUUCUCACAAGAGUAUAAGUUAAAGCUGAGAGAACAACUCAUGACUCCUGCUGUUUAGUCUGCUCUGUCUGGAUCUGCAGCUAAUGAGACCACUCAGCAAAAUUAACAUCUAAGUACUUCAUAAUCCAAUUUAUGUUUUAAAAAUUUUGCUUUCAAGACUCAAUGGCAUGUCCAUCAGGCAGUGUUCAUUAAACAUUUUUGGAUCAGGCAAUAUCUUGGAUGACCAAGAUCCUGAUGAUGCUUACAUUUAAAUCUCAAAAUGAGUGAUUGCCCACAGGAACAAGCAAUUAAGGGGAAAUGGUGCAUUGCCCAUCCCUGGGAACACUGGUCCAGCCUGAGCUCCUUUUCAGGGUGCAGGUUUUUUCCAGGCACGUCUUGUGACUGUGUGGAGGAAAGUCCACAUGCAAGAGGCAACACUACAUGAUCUAAUGGUCUCUUUGGCCUCAGAAGCUUGAAUCACUGAAUUGGAAUCUGUGAAAGAAAUGUCCCCAGCUGUAGGAAUGAACUGGCUCAGUUGCAAAUAGGUCAAUUAAACUUAAACCAACGACCCUCUGGGGUCAUCAUAAAAGUUACAAAUUGGAUUGAAAGGCAUGUAAGUAUAAUUAAACUUCUGUAGUUUCAAGCUAAUGUAAAAUUUCUUACUUCCUGUCCAGCACUCUAGUGUAAUGUUCCUGUGCUUGCUUAAAAAUCUGAUGCAUUAUUUUCAUAUCUCUCUACAAAGGUCUCUAGUUGAGAAGCAGUGUGAGCAUGAGGCUGGAGCUGGACUGACCAAGUGCAGGGCCCAUCCUGCUCUGGGCAGUCACAGAUGUUCCCUCCAGGUGUUACGCCAGGUAAUUCUCUUGGUGAACCAAGAGGGACCCUGUCUCUCCCUCUCUCCCUCUCUCCCUCUCUCCCUCCUUCCUUCCUUCCUUCCUUCCCUCCUUCCUUCCUUCCUUCCUUCCUUCCUUCCUUCCUUCCUUCCUUCCUUCCUUCCUUCCUUCCUUCCUUCCUUCCUUCCUUCCU